rnacentral:rRNA from 1 species
GAUGAACGCUGGCGGCGUGCCUAAUACAUGCAAGUCGAGCGAAUGGAUUGAGAGCUUGCUCUUAUGAAGUUAGCGGCGGACGGGUGAGUAACACGUGGGUAACCUGCCCAUAAGACUGGGAUAACUCCGGGAAACCGGGGCUAAUACCGGAUAACAUUUUGAACCGCAUGGUUCGAAAUUGAAGGGCGGCUUCGGCUGUCACUUAUGGAUGGACCCGCGUCACAUUAGCUAGUUGGUGAGGUAACGGCUCACCAAGGCAACGAUGCGUAGCCGACCUGAGAGGGUGAUCGGCCACACUGGGACUGAGACACGGCCCAGACUCCUACGGGAGGCAGCAGUAGGGAAUCUUCCGCAAUGGACGAAAGUCUGACGGAGCAACGCCGCGUGAGUGAUGAAGGCUCUCGGGUCGUAAAACUCUGUUGUUAGGGAAGAACAAGUGCUAGUUGAAUAAGCUGGCACCUUGACGGUACCUAACCAGAAAGCCACGGCUAACUACGUGCCAGCCGCCGCAGUAA